UUGUUUGGUAUAAAAUAAAGAUAAGAGAAAUAGAGAAGAGAUAAAUACUAUUAUUUUUAAAAGUACAAAAAUACCCUUCAAAUAAAAAAAUUCACAUGAGAUGAUUUAAUUAAAAAAAUUCCUUUUUCUUUAAAAAUAAUCUCUUCUUCCCUACCAACCGACCAUGAUUGAUACGGAUUGAACCUAACUCCACCUCAAAAUCAUGGUUCAAAGGGGAGGAUUGUCCAAUCCUAUAUAAACCCUCACACCGGGUUCAUUACUUCCGAUGUGAGACCCAAGUUGGGUUCAUGAAGCCCAACUUGCAUAUGGAAAUCGGUAACACAGAUCCAAUUUAUCUCUCUGCAUCUCAACCCACUAUCAAUCGAACACCUUACCUUCAUUUUCAUUUAUCUAACGAGAUAUCCAUUGCUUUCGUACAUAAACUUCACUGAAAAAAUUAAUAGACUUGUGCAUGCCCUGUUCACCAUAGGGUCACUUACUCCAUCAUAUCAUUGCACUCAACCUCAAAAUAAAAAACCUCAAAUCUGUUAUCUUUGGUAGAAAAUGAAUGAAUUUUGCAAGUUAACAAUUGGUCUUGGUCCAACAUUUUUUACACGGAGAAGUUAUGUUUAACAAAUUGAGGCAAAUGUGAAGACAGAAGGGGUAAUAUAGGAACAAAACAAAAUUCUGAAGUCUCUCUCGUCUUUCUUCGCAGCUGAGCGAAGAAAUAGAAAGCGUGGGUCCCACACCAUAUU
rnacentral:lncRNA from 1 species